UACGAAGGGGGCUAGCGUUGCUCGGAAUCGCUGGGCGUAAAGCGCACGUAGGCGGAUCUUUAAGUCAGGGGUGAAAUCCCGGAGCUCAACUCCGGAACUGCCUUUGAUACUGAGGGUCUCGAGUUCGGGAGAGGUGAGUGGAACUGCGAGUGUAGAGGUGAAAUUCGUAGAUAUUCGCAAGAACACCAGUGGCGAAGGCGGCCAACUGGACCAACACUGACGCUGAGGCGCGAAAGCGUGGGGAGCAAACAGG
rnacentral:rRNA from 1 species